AUUAAAAUGAAUAGGUUAAUAUUUUGAUUGGUCUUAAAGCAUUGGAUUGGUAGCUAAUUGCAAGAGGGGAGUGUCAGUGAUGCAUUGUGGCCUUGCUGAUAUGUGUGAUCUUCUCAGUUAUAGGUUUGAUUUUGUUUGAGGAUUAUGCUCUAUUUUUUUUUGUUUUUUUGGUUCCACAAGACUUCUCUAUUCUUACUCCUCCUACAACUCUUGUCUUUUCUUGUUCUUGACUCAUUUUGUUUACCUAAAUAUUUUUUAUUUGAGACUAGACUAGUUAGGGACUUAUAUAUA